rnacentral:rRNA from 1 species
UGGGGAAUAUUGCGCAAUGGACGAAAGUCUGACGCAGCGACGCCGCGUGAGGGACGAAGGUUUUCGGAUCGUAAACCUCUGUCAGAGGCGAAGAAAGCGCGGGGCGCCAACCUGUCCCGCGUUGACCGGCCUCAAAGGAAGCGCCGGCUAACUCCGUGCCAGCAGCCGCGGUAAUACGGAGGGCGCAAGCGUUAAUCGGAAUUACUGGGCGUAAAGCGCGCGUAGGCCGUCGCGCAAGUCAGGGGUGAAAGCCCGCGGCUCAGCCGCGGAACUGCCUUUGAUACUGCGCGGCUUGAAUCCGGGAGAGGAUGGCGGAAUUCCAGGUGUAGGAGUGAAAUCCGUAGAUAUCUGGAGGAACACCAGUGGCGAAGGCGGCCAUCUGGACCGGUAUUGACGCUGAGGCGCGAAAGCGUGGGGAGCAAACAGG